AAGUCGUAACAAGGUUUCCGUAGGUGAACCUGCGGAAGGAUCAUUAUCGAGUUAGGGUUCCUUCACGGGCCCGACCUCCAACCCGAUGUCUAAACUUACCACUGUUGCUUCGGCGGGCCUGCCUGUAGAAGGGCCGCCGGGGGUGCUCGUCACCUCUGGCCCGCGCCCGUCGAUAGCCCACAACAAACUCUUAUAAACCGUGUCAUGUCUGAAUAAACCAAAAAAUUAAGCACAAAA
rnacentral:misc_RNA from 1 species